AGCGAACGCUGGCGGCAGGCCUAACACAUGCAAGUCGAACGAACCUUUCGGGGUUAGUGGCGGACGGGUGAGUAACACGUGGGAACGUGCCUUUAGGUUCAGAAUAACUCAGGGAAACUUGUGCUAAUACCGAAUGUGCCCUUCGGGGGAAAGAUUUAUCGCCUUUAGAGCGGCCCGCGUCUGAUUAGCUAGUUGGUUGAGGUAAUGGCUCACCAAGGCGACGAUCAGUAGCUGGUCUGAGAGGAUGAUCAGCCACAUUGGGACUGAGACACGGCCCAAACUCCUACGGGAGGCAGCAGUGGGGAAUCUUGCGCAAUGGGCGAAAGCCUGACGCAGCCAUGCCGCGUGAAUGAUGAAGGUCUUAGGAUCGUAAAAUUCUUUCACCGGGGACGAUAAUGACGGUACCCGGAGAAGAAGCCCCGGCUAACUUCGUG
rnacentral:rRNA from 1 species